rnacentral:rRNA from 1 species
UACGUAGGGUGCAAGCGUUAUCCGGAAUUAUUGGGCGUAAAGAGCUCGUAGGCGGUUUGUCGCGUCUGCUGUGAAAACUGGGGGCUCAACCCCCAGCCUGCAGUGGGUACGGGCAGACUAGAGUGCGGUAGGGGAGAUUGGAAUUCCUGGUGUAGCGGUGGAAUGCGCAGAUAUCGGGAGGAACACCAAUGGCGAAGGCAGCUCGCUGGGACGGUACUGACGCUGAGACGCGAAAGCGUGGGGAGCAAACAGG